CAACGGUCAAUGAUGAAGGAGGCCGCGGCGAGGCGGCAGGCUCGAGUGCGUCGGGCUUGGGCUGCACCGAGGCGGCGUCUGUGAGAGGAGGACCUCCGGGCGAAGCGCGGCGGCAUGGGGACGAGACGUGACGAGUGAGGCGGCCGGCGGAACUUCCAGCCCGUGGGCUCGCCUGUUCCGCUGGCGGCUCGACGUCGUCCCCCGUCUGCGGCCGCUCGGCCCCUACAGGCCGCGACGGCGACGGCGACGGCGACGGCGGGGGCAUGUGGCGCUGGGUCCGGCAGCAGCUGGGGUUUGACCCACCACAUCUAAGUGACACAAGAACUAUUUACAUAGCCAACAGAUUUCCUCAAAAUGGACUUUACACACCUCAGAAAUUUAUAGACAACCGGAUUGUUUCAUCUAAGUAUACUGUGUGGAAUUUUAUUCCAAAAAAUUUAUUUGAACAAUUUCGAAGAGUGGCAAACUUUUAUUUCCUUAUUAUAUUUUUGGUUCAGCUUAUGAUUGAUACACCUACCAGUCCAAUUACCAGUGGACUUCCAUUAUUCUUUGUGAUAACAGUAACUGCCAUAAAACAGGGGUAUGAAGAUUGGUUACGACAUAACUCAGAUAAUGAAGUAAAUGGAGCUCCUGUUUAUGUUGUUCGAAGUGGCGGCCUUGUAAAAACUAGAUCGAAAAACAUUCGGGUGGGUGACAUUGUUCGAAUAGCCAAAGAUGAAACUUUCCCUGCAGAUCUGGUGCUUCUGUCCUCAGACCGACCUGAUGGUUCAUGUCAUGUGACAACUGCUAGUUUGGAUGGUGAAACGAACCUGAAGACACAUGUGUCAGUUCCAGAAACAGCAGUAUUACAAACAGUUGCCAACUUGGACAGUCUUAUAGCUGUGAUAGAAUGCCAGCAGCCGGAAGCAGACUUGUACAGAUUCAUGGGACGGAUGAUAAUAACUCAACAAAUGGAAGAAAUUGUAAGACCUCUGGGACCAGAGAGUCUCUUGCUUCGUGGAGCCAGAUUAAAGAACACAAAGGAAAUUUUUGGUGUUGCUAUAUACACUGGAAUGGAAACUAAGAUGGCAUUAAAUUACAAGAGCAAGUCUCAGAAACGAUCUGCAGUAGAAAAAUCAAUGAACACAUUUUUGAUAAUUUAUUUAAUAAUCCUUAUUUCUGAAGCCAUCAUCAGUACGAUCUUGAAAUACACCUGGAAAGCUGAAGAAAAAUGGGAUGAACCUUGGUAUAACCAAAAAACAGAACAUCAGAGAAAUAGUAGCAAGAUUCUGAGAUUUAUUUCUGAUUUCCUUGCCUUUUUGGUACUAUACAAUUUCAUCAUUCCAAUUUCAUUAUACGUGACAGUGGAAAUGCAGAAAUUUCUUGGAUCAUUUUUUAUUGGCUGGGAUCUUGAUCUCUAUCAUGAAGAGUCAGAUCAGAAAGCUCAGGUCAAUACUUCUGACCUGAAUGAAGAGCUUGGGCAGGUGGAGUAUGUGUUUACAGAUAAAACUGGAACACUGACAGAAAAUGAGAUGCAGUUUCGGGAGUGUUCAAUCAAUGGCAUGAAAUACCAAGAAAUCAAUGGUAGACUUGUACCUGAAGGACCAACCCCAGACUCUUCAGAAGGAACCGCACCUUACCUGAGUAGUUUAUCCCAUCUUAGCACAUCCCAUCUUACAACCAGUACUUCUUUUAGAACCAGUCCUGAAAAUGAGACUGAACUAAUUAAAGAACACGAUCUCUUCUUUAAAGCAGCCAGUCUCUGUCAUACUGUACAGAUCAGUAAUGUUCAAACUGACGGCAUUGGUGAUGGUCCCUGGCAGGCCAGCCUGGCGCCCACACAGCUAGAGUACUAUGCUUCUUCACCAGACGAAAAGGCACUGGUGGAAGCAGCUGCAAGAGUUGGCAUUGUAUUUAUUGGCCAUUCUGAGGAAACUAUGGAAGUUAAAAUACUUGGAAAACUGGAAAGGUACAAGUUGCUUCAUCUUCUGGAAUUUGAUUCAGAUCGUAGAAGAAUGAGUGUAAUUGUUCAGUCACCUUCAGGUGAGAAGCUUCUAUUUGCUAAAGGAGCUGAAUCCUCAAUUCUCCCCAAAUGUAUAGGUGGAGAAAUAGAAAAAACCAGAAUUCAUGUAGAUGAAUUUGCUUUGAAAGGACUACGAACUUUGUGUAUAGCCUAUAGACAGUUUACAUCUAAGGAAUAUGAAGAAAUAAAUAGGCGUCUGUUUGAAGCCAGGACAGCCUUGCAGCAACGGGAAGAGAAGUUAGCUAACGUCUUCCAGUUCAUAGAGAAAGAUUUGGUAUUACUGGGAGCCACUGCAGUGGAAGAUAAACUACAGGAUAAAGUUCGAGAAACUAUUGAAGCACUGAGAAUGGCUGGUAUCAAAGUAUGGGUACUUACUGGAGAUAAACAUGAAACAGCUGUUAGUGUGAGUUUGUCAUGUGGACAUUUUCAUAGAACCAUGAACAUCCUUGAACUUAUAAACCAGAAAUCAGACAAUGAAUGUGCUGAACAAUUGAGGCAGCUUGCCAGGAGAAUUACAGAGGAUCAUGUGAUUCAGCAUGGGCUGGUAGUGGAUGGGACCAGCCUAUCUCUUGCACUCAGGGAACAUGAAAAGCUAUUUAUGGAAGUUUGCAAAAAUUGCUCUGCUGUAUUAUGUUGUCGUAUGGCACCACUGCAGAAAGCAAAAGUAAUAAGACUGAUAAAAAUUUCACCUGAGAAACCAAUAACGUUGGCUGUUGGUGAUGGUGCUAAUGAUGUGAGCAUGAUACAAGAAGCACAUGUUGGCAUAGGAAUCCUGGGAAAAGAAGGAAGACAAGCUGCAAGAAACAGUGACUAUGCAAUAGCUAGAUUUAAGUUCCUCUCCAAAUUGCUUUUUGUUCAUGGACAUUUUUAUUACAUUAGAAUAGCUACCCUUGUACAGUAUUUUUUUUAUAAGAAUGUGUGUUUUAUCACACCCCAGUUUUUAUAUCAGUUCUACUGUUUGUUUUCUCAACAAACACUGUAUGACAGUGUGUACCUGACUUUAUACAACAUUUGUUUUACUUCUCUACCUGUUCUCAUCUAUAGUCUUUUGGAACAGCAUAUAGAUCCUCAUGUGUUACAGAGCAAGCCCACCCUCUAUCGGGACAUUAGUAAAAACCAUCUCUUAAGCAUUAAGACAUUUCUUUAUUGGACCGUCUUGGGUUUCAGUCAUGCCUUUAUUUUCUUUUUUGGAUCCUAUUUUUUGAUGGGAAAAGAUAUAUCUCUGCUUGGAAAUGGUCAGAUGUUUGGAAACUGGACAUUUGGCACUUUGGUUUUCACAGUAAUGCUCAUUACUGUUACAGUAAAGAUGGCUUUGGAAACUCAUUUUUGGACUUGGAUCAACCAUCUUGUUACCUGGGGAUCUAUUAUAUUUUAUUUUAUAUUUUCUUUGUUUUAUGGUGGGAUUCUCUGGCCAUUUUUGAGCUCCCAGAAUAUGUACUUUGUAUUUAUUCAGCUCCUAUCAAGUGGUUCAGCUUGGUUUGCCAUAAUCCUUAUGGUUGUCACUUGUCUAUUUCUUGAUGUUGUGAAGAAGGUAUUUGACCGACAUCUCCAUCCUACAAGUACUGAAAAGGCACAGAUGUACUCCAACACAGUCGCUUUAAGUGACGAGUUCAUCGCACUGCAGCCUUUGUCGAGGGCAAGGAAUCAGCUGAGCAAACUUAGCUUACUGAAGCAAAUUCAGGUCUCAAGUGUUUGGACUCCAUGUGCUGUUUCCCAGAAGGAGAGACAGUGUGCACAUCUGUUGGAAGAAUGCUGGAACGGUUUAUAGGGAGGUGUAGUCCCACCCACAUCAGCAGGUGUGACAUUUCUCUAAGUAGCUUCUGCUGCAGAUGAGUGUCCUGUCUUGAACAACACAAGCCUGCAGCUAUCGUGGAGUGCAUUGGAUCCUUUCUAUACCAACGACAGGAGCAUCUUGACUCUCUCCACAAUGGACUCAUCUACUUGUUAAAGGGCAGUAGUGUUUUGUGGGAGCAAGCUCACCUUUCCUCAUUCUCAUUCAGGGUGAUCGUCCUGUAAAUGACCACAGUGGCUCUGAGAUUAUUUUCUGAAAUCUCUGGAGUAGUUUAUGCCCAUCAGUUACAAAGGCAGACAGACAGAAAACAUGUACACACACCCUUUGUUUUCCUUAAUUUGAAUCUAAGCAUAAAAUUUGUGAAUAAAGAGAUAAUUUCAAUCUCUUUUGGGUUAACCUUUUACUUAGGGGACUCCUAAUGGCAUUCAGCCUAUUGCUGAGGCCCUAUAUUUUUAAUACCAUGGUAGAAAAAUGAAUUAAGUCUUAGUUACAUGUAUUUUUUUAGGAUUAGUGUGGUUAGUGACUCUUCUGUUUAAAUCGUUCAGUAAGAGCACUUGCUGCUUAAGCAUGAGGGCCUACGACCACUCAAGUUCAAUCCCGAGCACCCAUAUAAAAUAAAUAAUAGUUUCUGUAAAUUAUGUUGACGAUUUGCCUUGAGAACUCUAUUUUUUUAUUAGAGUUAUAUUUGAAACUUUUCAUGGGAAAAGUUAAUGUGAAUAUUAAGGACUUUGGUCCCUCAGUGACCUAUGUUGUUAAUUCAUUUGUGCUUUUUAAGUUCACAGAGAAAAUCAGGAGAGUGCAUUUUCAAGCAUUAUUUUCUGCAGUAUUGGUCAUAGUUCAUACCAAUAGCAAGUUUCCCUAGCAACACUGUAAUUCCACAGUGAGUUCGCCAUGUUUAAGUGCAGAGGGUAUGUCACCUUGUAUGUAUAAAUCAGCGGUCAGGUCCAUUCACCAGACGUCAAGUUGAUGUUUACUAAUAUUUUUGUGACAAAAUACAGAGUACCUACAGUGGGUAAAUUAGAUACCAUUAUCAUAUUAAUAAAAUGUCUUUAUUAUUGGAUCUUUUGCAUGCUUCAUCCUGGCUAGUAUAUUUAAAGUUUCUUUUUUUCUCUCCUUAUCCAAAGACUCUGUUUACUUAUAAUUAUUUUAUGACGAUGUUGUAAAGUCAACUAUAUCAAUAAAAACAAGUUUGGACAGUA